AUGGCUCAGUUGUUAGAGCAUGGUGCUUGCAACACCAGGGUGGUGGGUUUGAUUCCCUCU
rfam:Salmo salar isolate Sally breed double haploid chromosome ssa25, whole genome shotgun sequence.